rnacentral:rRNA from 1 species
CCCUUAGUAACUGCGAGUGAAGAGGGAAGAGCUCAAAUUUGAAAUCUGACAGUGUUUUGCUGUUCGAGUUGUAAUCUAGAGAAAGUCUGCCCGUGCUGGACCAUGUACAAGUCUCCUGGAAUGGAGCGUCAUAGAGGGUGAGAAUCCCGUCUUUGACAUGGACUGCCAGUGCAUUGUGGUGUGCUCUCAAAGAGUCGAGUUGUUUGGGAAUGCAGCUCUAAAUGGGUGGUAAACUCCAUCUAAAGCUAAAUAUUGGCGAGAGACCGAUAGCGAACAAGUACCGUGAGGGAAAGAUGAAAAGAACUUUGGAAAGAGAGUUAAACAGUAUGUGAAAUUGUUGAAAGGGAAACGCUUAAAGUCAGUCGUGUCGGCCAGGGAUCAACCUAGUUUAUCUUUGCUGGGUGUACUUCCUGAUCUGAUGGGCCAACAUCAGUUUUGACUGCUGGAAAAGGGCAGAGGGAAUGUGGCACCUUUGGGUGUGUUAUAGCUCUCUGUCAUAUGCAGUGGUUGGGACUGAGGAAAGCAGCAUGCCAUAUAGGCCGGGUUUCGACCACGUUCAUGCUGAGGAUGUUGGCAUAAUGGCUUUAAUCGACCCGUCUUGAAACACGGACCAAGGAGUCUAACAUGCCUGCGAGUAUUUGGGUGGAAAACCCAAGUGCGGAAUGAAAGUGAAAGGUUGAGAUCCCUGUCAUGGGGAGCAUCGAUGCCCGGACCUGAGCUUUUAGCAAAGGAUCUGCGGUAGAGCAUGCAUGUUAGGACCCGAAAGAUGGUGAACUAUGCCUGAAUAGGGUGAAGCCAGAGGAAACUCUGGUGGAGGCUCGUAGCGAUUCUGACGUGCAAAUCGAUCGUCAAAUUUGGGUAUAG